rnacentral:tRNA from 1 species
CUGCCCGUAGCUCAGUUGGAUAGAGCAACGGCCUUCUAAGCCGUAGGUCGGGGGUUCAAUUCCCUCCGGGCAGGCCA